rnacentral:sRNA from 1 species
CCCUAGCCCUGAUAGAAGUGGAAAUCCUUUUUCUGGCUGCUGCCAGCCAGGAAAAGAUUGAAACGGAUAGCAGGAAACAGC